rnacentral:tRNA from 1 species
UCCCUGGUAGCUCAAUCGGCAGAGCGGGUGGCUGUUAACCACUAGGUUGGCGGUUCAAAUCCGUCCCGGGGAG